GAGUUUGAUCAUGGCUCAGGAUAAACGCUGGCGGCGCACAUAAGACAUGCAAGUCGAACGGACCAAAUUAGUUUGUUUACAAAUUAAAGAGGUUAGUGGCGGACUGGUGAGUAAUAUGUAAGCAAUCUGCCUAUUAGAGGGGAAUAACAGUGAGAAAUCAUUGCUAAUACCGCAUAUGCCAUAUAAACCACAUGGUUUAAGUGGGAAAGGAGCAAUCCGCUAAUAGAUGAGCUUACACCUGAUUAGUUAGUUGGUGGGGUAACGGCCUACCAAGACGACGAUCAGUAGCCGAACUGAGAGGUUGAACGGCCACAUUGGGACUGAGAUACGGCCCAGACUCCUACGGGAGGCAGCAGUCGGGAAUUUUGCGCAAUGGAGGAAACUCUGACGCAGUGACGCCGCGUAUAGGAAGAAGGUUUUCGGAUUGUAAACUAUUGUCGAUGGGGAAGAAAAAGGACAGUACCCAUCAAGAAAGCUCCGGCUAACUACGUGCCAGCAGCCGCGGUAAUACGUAGGGAGCAAGCGUUAUCCGGAAUUAUUGGGUGUAAAGGGUGCGUAGACGGGAAUGCAAGUCAGUUGUGAAAUCCCUCGGCUUAACUGAGGAACUGCAACUGAAACUAUGUUUCUUGAGUGCAGGAGAGGAAAGUGGAAUUCCUAGUGUAGCGGUGAAAUGCGUAGAUAUUAGGAGGAACACCAGUGGCGAAGGCGACUUUCUGGACUGUAACUGACGUUGAGGCACGAAAGUGUGGGGAGCAAACAGGAUUAGAUACCCUGGUAGUCCACACUGUAAACGAUGGAUACUAGGUGUAGGGGGUAUUAAGCCUUCUGUGCCGUCGCAAACGCAGUAAGUAUCCCACCUGGGGAGUACGACCGCAAGGUUGAAACUCAAAGGAAUUGACGGGGGCCCGCACAAGCAGUGGAGUAUGUGGUUUAAUUCGAAGCAACGCGAAGAACCUUACCAGGGCUUGACAUAUAACUGAAUUAUUAAGAGAUUAGUAAGUUCUUCGGAACAGUUAUACAGGUGGUGCAUGGUUGUCGUCAGCUCGUGUCGUGAGAUGUUGGGUUAAGUCCCGCAACGAGCGCAACCCCUGUGGUUAGUUGCCAGCACGUAAAGGUGGGAACUCUAAUCAAACUGCCGGUGAUAAAUCGGAGGAAGGUGGGGACGACGUCAAAUCAUCAUGCCCUUUAUGUCCUGGGCUACACACGUACUACAAUGGCUAUAACAAAGAGAAGCGAGAUAGUGAUAUUAAGCAAAACUCGGAAAAGUAGUCUCAGUUCGGACUGAAGGCUGAAAUUCGCCUUCAUGAAGCCGGAAUUGCUAGUAAUGGCAGGUCAGCAUACUGCCGUGAAUACGUUCCCGGGCCUUGUACACACCGCCCGUCACACCAUGAGAGUUGGGGAUACCCGAAGCCUGUGAGCCAACAUUAAGAGGCAGCAGUCGAAGGUAGAAUCAAUGAUUGGGGUGAAGUCGUAACAAGGUA
rnacentral:rRNA from 1 species